rnacentral:tRNA from 1 species
GGGGGUUUAGCUCAGUGGUUAGAGCACCCGUCAAUUGCACCCGUCAAUUGAACGGAAUGUCGUUGGUUCGAUUCCAGCAACCUUUC